UGAUGGGUGGGCUCGCACGACUCUUCAUAAUCGAUCGGUCUAUUGGUGCAUCCCAUCACGUGUGACAUCACGCCUUUUUGUAUAGAAUAUAGAGUAAAGUUUAUGUUUGCAAAGGCCUCCUGUGUCUGCUGAAUUACACCACGUAGGCCUAUGAACAAACUGUUCGAGGAAAUCAAUUGAUUGGAAGAAAACACCACCGUACCUUGGCAGAAACACCGACUGGGACUCCGGGAAGCGGCUCCCCGAUGGCGCAAAAAGGACGUGGCUCCCAAAGUUGGGGUAGUCGUUGUAGGGAUAGUGCGGACACUCUCCGUUGUAUUCUCCGUGGCUGUAGUUGACCGGGGACUUGGUGUUCAUGGCCCAAAAGAGCCCCAGGAUGAGCAUGACGGCCCCUAGCACCACGCAGCAGAGGGAGAAGGCCUGCAGACGGCUCUGGGACGAGCAGUUUGCUGUGUUUUUUCCACCUCCUGGGUCUGCCACUCCUCCUGUCUGUCUCACUUCACACCUGGACCUAUUCUGCAAUCAUGCUCACCUGGUCUUCAUCUCCAAUCAACUCCCCUUCAUAAACCCUUGGAUUCCCUGCUGUCGGUGCCAGAUCGUACUACGCACUACUGUGUUAUCCGGAUCCCUCACUCCAGUUCGCCUGCUUCGCUCCUUCCCCGGCAACCUCAUCCAAUACCCGCCUCCUCGCCUCGUUCAAUAAACCCUUUUUCCUUCAACUCAACUUCGUCUCCGUCUGCUCUUGGGUUCAGCAUCGUUUAACCAUAACACUACGUUUACAUUUUUUACUUUUUUUGUAUGUUUCAAGUGUAGGCCUAUAUGUUUGACAACAAACCUUCUCCAAUAUUUCCCUCAAGAAUACAAACUCUUUCGUUCAAUGUUGUGGGAAAUUUGAAACGUGGAGAAAAAUAAUCUGCCAACUAGGCCGACUUGAAAACUUUAAAAUGUUUGAAACUUUUUCACAACAGCCCUACCACGAACACACAAAUUGGCCUAAUAUUUAUGUUGUUCAUUGUGUGUAUAGGACAUUAUGUUCAACUUUGAUUCUACCCCUGUAUAGCAAUGCAUAGCUCCAUAUCGAUAUUUUGUUAUUGUCAUCUGUGAGAUAUUCUCUAAAAGUCAAGGUCAGAUCUGUAAAC
ensembl:lncRNA